rnacentral:lncRNA from 1 species
AGUGUUUGAACUUACAGAGUCACGCAUAAAAGUCAAAAAAUAUAGAAAAGAAUUGAUCGAAUAUUUAUCUAUUCAAUUUGAAAGUAUGAGACUUGAUUGAACAUAUAGAUAAAUUAAUUAAAAAUUAAAUUAUAGGUCAUACAAAAUUAAAUACUGACUAUAUAUAGCUAGCAUGGUGCAUGAGGUGCGGGUUAGAUUUCAGAGAUGAAUUAAAUCAAAUCAAUGAUCCA